UAUCUAUAAUACGAAGACGUAAGUGGCAAUGCAGACCAAACAAUGCAGGGGAUUCCGCUCACACAAGAAGAAAGAAGAGCUGGACGACGGAGAAGCACAUGGCGCAGGACAGUCGAGGCGGAUUCAUCGUCACUAGGCAAGAGUUGGAGGGAGCUGAAACACAUCUCCGGAAACCGUACACGAUGGCGCGUAGGCGUAGUAGAGGCCUUAUGCCCCUUAAGGGAACCGUUUUUAAUAUGAUUUUCUUGAUUCGGCUGAUACGUGUCUUUUUUGGGAAUCUUUAAAAUAAAUGUUGAUAACAGUGUUACCUUUACUAAUUAUUUCCCGGGGCGAGAGCACGGUUGCCACUUAAAAAGAAAUUGCAUGACCAAACCUGAAAAUAAAAAUGACCAAUUGUACCAAAAAGUUAGCAAAAUAAUUUGUGUCUGCAAUGGUUUUUAACUUCCCAUAGAAAGAAAGUUAUUGUAAUCGGUCCAAUUUGUCGAAUUGAAAACUUAUACCUCGAAGUUUCAAGGUUCCUAGGGUUUAAAUAAAAGGGUUUUGGUGAGAUUUACGUCCGUAAUUUUGUUUAACCCCAAAUAUUUCACGAACCAAUAACUCUAACGGUAACUUGACUACUAACAAGCAUUAAAAAAAAAAAAAAUAAUUUACGGUUUUUUUUUAAUAAAUAAAAAAAACUGAAACGAAUAAUUGUGAUCUCGAAUAUUUUACGAAUAAAAAAUGAUAUCUCUGAAAUGAUUGUAUGCAAUGAAGAACAACGUUUUUAUCUGUAAAGUUUUGAGAAAAAUCGAAUUAAUAUUUUUUUGCAAAAAAUAAAAAUCUAAAAAAAAACAAUACUAAAAGUUGGUAAAAAUUGAUUUUCGACUCAAAUAUCUUUUAAAAAACUUUCGAUAUUAGCUUGUAAGUUAUAAAAAAUAUUACUGUCAACAUUCAGAAAAGUUUUGAGAAAAAUCAAAUUUAAAGUUUUUUUUUACAAAAAAGAAAAACCUAAAAAAACUAAAAAAAUUUACUUUAAAUAUCUUUUCAAAAAUUACAAAUAUUGGUUUCAAACUAAUUUUAUCUCACAUACAAUUUUGUUUGUCAUUUUUUUCAUAAACAAAUUAAAAUCUACAAAAAAUAGUACGUUACAAACGAACUUACUCUAAUUUUAAAAAAAAUAUUCAUUUAAAGCAUUUUUAUGAUAACUGACUUAUUCCCAACAUUCUGACAUAUCAAUUUUCUCCGUAAGAUUAUAAGAUUCUGAGGUGUUAGGCCAUCUGUCAUUAAAUUGUGAAAUUAAAUGCAUAUAAUGGUCGCAUUCACAAAGCUAUAGUGGCUACGUAGACAAGGGAUUCUGAUUGGCUAAAUCCAACAACAAAAGUAGUUGAAAUUUCCCCUCCGACGUAGUGUACAAAAUUCGGCUACAAAGUUAGUGGAGAAUGGUUUUGAAGUUUCAAAAUCAGCUGCUCGGUAAAACGCACUAAUUCAAAAUGAAGAAAAUCGUUCAGU